rnacentral:sRNA from 1 species
GCCCGCCAGCCCCUCCUCCCUCUCUAGUCAGUGAGAUGGUGAAAUAAAUGUUCUGGAAAAAGGUUAACCCUCCCGGCUCUGGCUUGCAAACAGCGAGGAAAUUAACCCCUUAAGACUUCCCCGGCCCUAAAUGCUUGCCAGGAGCACAGAGCUAAAAAGCAUCUUUGGGUGGGUUACCAUCCUUCUCCCAACCCCCCCAGUCAGUCCUCCUGUUCCCCGGAGGCUUUUCGGAAAGCUGUGUUUUUAAUAGAGCUUUUCAGCAAGCCCAUGUGUAAGGCUUUGAGUCAUCAGAACCCGGAUGUAAACACAGCAGCCCUACAUUCUGCACAGUUUGCGUGUAUUUUAUCUUUUUAAUAAUAUUUAGCUGGCAACUUAAAACUGAAAGAAUGCCAGCUAUUUUAGCCAGCCACUUACAUCAUGCAGCCUCCGUCUUUGGGAGAGUAGUUGCCCUUCCUUGCCUUGUUUCUCAGGUCCCCGCCCCACACUGCAGGCAAUCUGGGUCCUUCUGAAGGCAUCUUGUUGCCACUUAGCAAACCCAGUCCCUUAGAACAUGACAUCAGCCUGAGCAACAAAGACAGAGGACAGGUUCCUGUCAGAGACAAGACAUUGGGUGAGUCAAGGUCCAUGAUGCCAACUCUCUGGGUGGCCUGUUUAAUGGGGAGAAAAAAUUAAAUACCCCAGCCAAGUCCUAUGGAAACCAAAGAGGGUCAACAAGCCCACUCCUACUGUAGCAUCAUAGACUUGUAGAGGACAGCCAGAGUCAGCCCCUGGGCUUCCAGGUUUCUGGGCUUCCUGGUUUCCGGACUUCCGGCAGGGCCUCAGAUGUCAGGAGCCGCAUUCCUCCCUUACCUUACAGCCUUAGGAUUCCUGGCAGUUUCCUAAGAACUCCACAGCUGGAGUACAGCUGCUUGGGGUGGAGAAAGCAGUACUCUUGGUAGGUCAGCAGGGUGAGCGAGCGAGGGCAGGGACUGUUGGAAGGUUGGGAAAGUCCUUGCCUGAGCCAGAAUCCAGGAAUGUGCUGGGGCCUCGGCUGAGAAAUCCUUCCAGAUGGGGGAGGGAAGGGGAAAGUGUCUGCCUUCUGGAUAGAUUUUUUUUUAAAAAAUCGCCCCAGGGAGGUGGACUGUUUUGAAACCGUCUUUUAGUGUGAAUGUUUAAACUGACCUGGAAACUUCCUCCCUUUUCUUUUCCUACAGUCCGAAUUUGUUUCCGAGGAGCAGUAAUCAACAAGGACAUUUGCCUCAGGGUCUCUCUUCCUUCGCCUCUUUAAAUGUUUAAAAAAAUUAUUGUUGUUGUUGUUAUCUUUAGUUCGGGGAAACUUUUGGACGCUCUCCAGGCUGCGGCUAUAGAAGUUUCCAGGAAAAUGGAAAAGCAACAUUAGUGUUUUGAACCUGUCUGGGUCAAGGGCUAGACGUGUUGGUUUUUUGCUUUUUGGUUUUUUUUUAGAAUGUCAGCAAUAAGGGCAGCCAGGUCCUGUGAGAGAGGCCAGCAAGGCAGAGGGCCUGAAGAUGCUGUCAGAAGGAUCUAAGAGCAUCCGAAAUCUCAGAGACGAACGUGGAGUUUAGCUGGCCUGCCUCUCCUGGAGCCACAGGGAACUGUGGAUUGUCACUUCAGGUGCUGGGUAUGGAGGGAGUGAGAACUUCAAGCCCAAGCCAUCGUAGAGACAGGUGGACCAGAGAUACAGUCUUGGGCAUUUGCAUUUUAGAGACUUGAAGCCCACACCAGAAGGCUACAAGUCAGUGAGCACACACACACACACACCAGGCCCCAAGGUGGCAGGGCCCACGAAAGACAGAAGAAAGGCUUGUCUUGGUUCUAUGACGAAUGCAUCAUGUACCUUGCUUCAAGGGCAAAGAGACAGAAAAAGUCAGAGAGUAAAGUCAGAACUGGGUCAGGAGGGGGAGGAAGAAUCAGGUUUUUGCAAGGCAGUUACUUCUUGCCUGCUCAGGGUUUCUCUGGAUAGUCCUGACUGUCCUGAAACUCGUUCUGUAGACCAGGCUGCCCUUGAACUCACAGAGAUCCGCCUAACUCUGCCUCCCGAGUUCUGGGAUUAAAGAUUUGCCCACCACCACCUGAACAAGUGUUCAGUUCUUACUUCUGUCUUAUAGAUGAGAACACUGAGACUCAGUGAUGAAAGAACUGGUCACUGUAGGAGUAGGCUUUGAGAUUCUCCUCCUUGCUGCCUGGAGGACGAUAGUUUUUUUUCCUGUUUGCCUUAUGAACUCUUUGGUCUUGGCUUUUUCUCCAGCACCAUGCUUACCUGGAUGCUGACGUGUCUCCUGUAUUGAUGAUACUGGACUGAACCUCUGAGCCUAUAAGCCAGCCCCAAUUAAAUGUGUGCCUUAUAAGAAUAAAAAGAAUGAUGAAGGAACUGAACUCAGAACACACAACCAGUAAGUGGUAGGCCAAGUUAAUCCUGAGUUAAUAUUGCAGACAGACCUGGGUUUGAGUCCUGAUUGGUGAGACAUGUGAUUCAGCAAGUUUUGUGCACAGCCAGCUCUUCUCAGCUGAUUUCCUAUGUUAAAUGCAUGGAGGAAUGCAGGCCAUUUCCUAUAACUAGCUGCUAGCAUUGUUACAAGUUUGCUGCAGGAAUUAAGUAGAAACGUGCUUCCAUUGGUAGAGCGGCUA